rnacentral:rRNA from 1 species
CCUACGGGUGGCAGCAGUGAGGAAUAUUGGUCAAUGGACGAGAGUCUGAACCAGCCAAGUAGCGUGAAGGAUGACUGCCCUAUGGGUUGUAAACUUCUUUUAUAAAGGAAUAAAACGAGGCACGUGUGCCUUUUUGCAUGUACUUUAUGAAUAAGGAUCGGCUAACUCCGUGCCAGCAGCCGCGGUAAUACGGAGGAUCCGAGCGUUAUCCGGAUUUAUUUGGUUUAAAGGGAGCGUAGAUGGGUUGUUACGUCAGUUGUGAAAUUUUGCGGCUCAACCGUAAAAGUGCAAUUGAUACUGGCAGUCUUGAGUACAGUUGAGGUAGGCGGAAUUCGUGGUGUAGCGGUGAAAUGCUUAGAUAUCACGAAGAACCCCGAUUGCGAAGGCAGCUUACUAAACUGUGACUGACAUUGAUGCUCGAAAGUGUGGGUAUCAAACAGGAUUAGAUACCCGUGUAGUC